UUUUUUUUUUUCUAUUAUUAUAAAUAGCCCAUUUUUUCCUCGGCACUCUUUGGAAUGUGAUUUAAAAAUACCACCUAAAGUCGCAGUUUGGGGAAAAGGUUUCUGGACGAGGAGAAUAGCUCGCAAGCAAGGAAUGGGCUAGUAUUAGAAACCUGUACCAACAGCAGGCCAGACUCAAAUAUCAGCUAUGGCAACCCAUGCAUGAAGUUGAUGCCUUUGAACUAUUUCCUAUAGAUGAGACAUAGCACAUACUGUGGAAUUAAACCCCUGUUGAUUAGGGUAGAAGUGAGCUGCUGCUGACUACUUCUGUAACUCCCAAGGCAGUCAUGACUUGCUGUUGGAGAAGCACAGCUUUAUGAGAAGAGUCUGC